CGGGGGGACCUUCUGGCUCUGCAACCCCCUGACAGGAGGGGGGAGCCGGGGAGGGUCGGGCUCUGCUCGCAGGGAACAAGGGACAGCAGGAGAGGACACGGCCUCAGAUUGUGUCAGGGCAGGUUUAGGUUAGAUAUUAGGAAAAAUUGAUCCAUGGAAAAUGUAGUCAGAUAUUGGCACAGACUGUCCAGGGCAGUGGUGGGGUCACCAGCCAUGGAGGGAUUUAAAAACCCUGUGGAUUUGGCACUUGGGGAACACGGGUUAGUGGUGACCUUGGCAGUGCUGGGUUGACAGUUGGACUCCAUGGUCUUAGAGGGCUUUUCCAACCUGAUUGAUUCUGUGAUUCCAUGAUUCUGUGAGGCAGAGGAGCAGUCUGGGUGGUUACACUGCAGCCAGGCACCCCAAGCUCUCCUGCAUGCUCCCCUUCCCACGGGCAGCUCUGCCUCUGGUGAGAGCAGCCACUGAUUAGUCCUGCCAGAAACCACACUUCCCUGGCUCAGGCACAGAAAAAAACAACAGAUAACACAAGAGAGAAAGUCAGAGAGAGGGAAGAAGGCAGGAGCAAGUGGGACUGCUGUUGCUGAUGUAUUAUUUAUAUAGCAGGAAAUUAGACUCUGAGGACUCAAGUAUUCUUCAAAUAAGCUUCCUAAUUCUGUCAAUUAAGAAUGCACAGGCUGCUGGGGCUCUAGCUUGGGAUGAGCUGCAGAGGAGUGAAAGCUGCCCCUGGUCAUUGCUCUGAUGUGCUGCUACAGAUAUUUCAGCUGGAGGAAAAAUAUCUUAGUCCCAAAAUCAAAUGUGUGAGAUGCUGGGAGGCUUAUAUAGAGCAGCUCUGGCUGAUUCCAGUGGGACAAAUAACUUCCCUGUGCUCUGACAGGGGAAUACUGAAA